rnacentral:lncRNA from 1 species
AGCUGAGGACCGAACCCAGGGCCUUGCGAUUGCUAGGCAAGCGCUCUACCACUGAGCUAAAUCCCCAACCCCUGCAUAGUGGUAUUUCUGCAGCAGCACCCCAUCCCUGGUUGUUGGGUAGGAUGGAGCCUCAUACCCUCGUGAUGGCCCAGCCCAACCUACUAACUGCCCAACAAGGCUGCCUCCCAGGGUUGUGUGUUUCUGUUUUGUUUUGUUUUGUUUUGUUUUGUUUUGUUUUGUUUUGUUUUGUUCGAGACCUGCUCUUGCUCCAUAGCCCAGACUAGCCUGGAGCACAUGACCCUCCUACCUCAGCCUCCUAAGGGUGGGGAUCACGGCCUCGUGUUACCCAUCUCCUCCUGGGUUCUCUGAAGUCUGGCUAAGGUGAGGGUGAACCACAUCCUUGAGCCUUACGUGAAGGGGGUUAUCAAGGAUCAAACUGGGGGUUGGGGAUUUAGCUCAGUGGUAGAGCGCUUGCCUAGGAAGCGCAAGGCCCUGGGUUCGGUCCCCAGCUCCGAAAAAAAGACCAAAAAAAAAAAAAA